GACGAACGCUGGCGGCGUGCUUAACACAUGCAAGUCGAACGGAAAGGCCCUGCUUUUGUGGGGUGCUCGAGUGGCGAACGGGUGAGUAACACGUGAGUAACCUGCCCUUGACUUUGGGAUAACUUCAGGAAACUGGGGCUAAUACCGGAUAGGAGCUCCUGCUGCAUGGGGGGGGUUGGAAAGUUUCGGCGGUUGGGGAUGGACUCGCGGCUUAUCAGCUUGUUGGUGGGGUAGUGGCUUACCACGGCUUUGACGGGUAGCCGGCCUGAGAGGGUGACCGGCCACAUUGGGACUGAGAUACGGCCCAGACUCCUACGGGAGGCAGCAGUGGGGAAUAUUGCACAAUGGGCGGAAGCCUGAUGCAGCAACGCCGCGUGCGGGAUGACGGCCUUCGGGUUGUAAACCGCUUUCGCCUGUGACGAAGCGUGAGUGACGGUAAUGGGUAAAGAAGCACCGGCUAACUACGUG
rnacentral:rRNA from 1 species